rnacentral:rRNA from 1 species
AACGAACGCUGGCGGCAGGCUUAACACAUGCAAGUCGAACGCCCCGCAAGGGGAGUGGCAGACGGGUGAGUAACACGUGGGAACGUGCCCUAAGGUUCGGAAUAUUCCCGGGAAACUGGGAGCAAUACCGAAUGUGUCCGAGAGGAGAAAGAUUUAUCGCCUUAGGAUCGGCCCGCGUCGGAUUAGCUAGUUGGUGGGGUAAUGGCCUACCAAGGCGACGAUCCGUAGCUGGUCUGAGAGGACGACCAGCCACACUGGGACUGAGACACGGCACAGACUCCUACGGGAGGCAGCAGUGGGGAAUCUUGGACAAUGGGCGCGAGCCUGAUCCAGCCAUGCCGCGUGGAUGAUGAAGGCCUUAGGGUUGUAAAAUCCUUUCGCCGAGGACGAUAAUGACGGUACUCGGAGAAGAAGCUCCGGCUAACUUCGUGCCAGCAGCCGCCGUAA